UACGUAGGUGGCAAGCGUUAUCCGGAAUUAUUGGGCGUAAAGCGCGCGCAGGCGGCCUUUUAAGUCUGAUGUGAAAGCCCACGGCUCAACCGUGGAAGGUCAUUGGAAACUGAAAGGCUUGAGUACAGAAGAGGAAAGCGGAAUUCCGACGUGUAGCGGUGAAAUGCGCAGAUAUCAGGAGGAACACCGGUGGCGAAGGCGGGUCUCUGGACAGUUCCUGCGCUGAGGCACGAAGGCCAGGGGAGCAAACGGG
rnacentral:rRNA from 1 species